rnacentral:rRNA from 1 species
CAGCCAUGCCGCGUGCAGGAUGACGGUCCUAUGGAUUGUAAACUGCUUUUGUACGGGAAGAAAUGUGCCUACGAGUAGGUAUUUGACGGUACCGUAAGAAUAAGGAUCGGCUAACUCCGUGCCAGCAGCCGCGGUAAUACGGAGGAUCCGAGCGUUAUCCGGAAUUAUUGGGUUUAAAGGGUUCGUAGGCGGUCAGAUAAGUCAGUGGUGAAAUCUCAUAGCUUAACUAUGAAACUGCCGUUGAUACUGUUUGACUUGAAUAGUAUGGAAGUAACUAGAAUAUGUAGUGUAGCGGUGAAAUGCUUAGAUAUUACAUGGAAUACCAAUUGCGAAGGCAGGUUACUACGUACUUAUUGACGCUGAUGAACGAAAGCGUGGGUAGCGAACAGGAUUAGAUACCCUGGUAGUCCACGCCGUAAACGAUGGAUACUAGCUGUUCGGUUUUCGGACUGAGUGGCUAAGCGAAAGUGAUAAGUAUCCCACCUGGGGAGUACGUUCGCAAGAAUGAAACUCAAAGGAAUUGACGGGGGCCCGCACAAGCGGUGGAGCAUGUGGUUUAAUUCGAUGAUACGCGAGGAACCUUACCAGGGCUUAAAUGUAGAUUGACAGGUUUGGAAACAGACUUUUCUUCGGACAAUUUACAAGGUGCUGCAUGGUUGUCGUCAGCUCGUGCCGUGAGGUGUCAGGUUAAGUCCUAUAACGAGCGCAACCCCUAUUGUUAGUUACCAUCGCGUUAAGGCGGGGACUCUAGCAAGACUGCCGGUGCAAACCGAGAGGAAGGUGGGGAUGACGUCAAAUCAUCACGGCCCUUACGUCCUGGGCUACACACGUGCUACAAUGGCAAGUACAGAAAGCAGCUACCUGGCAACAGGAUGCGAAU